rnacentral:rRNA from 1 species
AUUGAACGCUGGCGGCAUGCUUUACACAUGCAAGUCGAACGGUAACAGGCCGCAAGGUGCUGACGAGUGGCGAACGGGUGAGUAAUGCAUCGGAACGUGCCCAGUCGUGGGGGAUAACUACUCGAAAGAGUAGCUAAUACCGCAUACGAUCUAUGGAUGAAAGCGGGGGACCGUAAGGCCUCGCGCGAUUGGAGCGGCCGAUGUCAGAUUAGGUAGUUGGUGGGGUAAAGGCUCACCAAGCCAACGAUCUGUAGCUGGUCUGAGAGGACGACCAGCCACACUGGGACUGAGACACGGCCCAGACUCCUACGGGAGACAGCAGUGGGGAAUUUUGGACAAUGGGCGCAAGCCUGAUCCAGCAAUGCCGCGUGCAGGAAGAAGGCCUUCGGGUUGUAAACUGCUUUUGUACGGAACGAAACGGCUCUGGUUAAUACCCGGGGCUAAUGACGGUACCGUAAGAAUAAGCACCGGCUAACUACGUG